GCCUAGACUCGUGCUUUGUUGGUGUGGUUCAGGGAUGCACACUUGCACUGCAAUCACAGAGCCAUGAGCAGGUCUGCCCACCCAUUCCUGCUCUGCCCACGGAGGCUGCCUUGGGUAAAACCAUCAAGCUGUGGAAAUUGAACUUGUCGACCCCCGCCCCCUGCCCCUCAGUUCUCCUGAAAGUUAUAGAUCCAUGGGGACCAGGUCUCUGAAGGAAGGGGUUGGGAAACAGGAUGAUAACUUAUUACAGAAACGGAAAAUUGGAAAGCUGGAGGUCAUUGUGUCAUCUGUAAGCCCAGCAUGAAUGUUGCUGGAGCAAGAGGACUGGCACCAGUCUGAAGCCAGCCUGGGUUACAGACCGAGACUGUUUCAAAAAGAAGAACACUGCAUAUAGAGCUUUCAGGAAAGCAGGCUGCCGGUUACAGAUCAUCCUUACGGAAGACAGAACGAAGCAGCUAGCACAAGAGGACAGGCUUGGUGAGAACGAGCGCCCUUAGCCAGACAUGGCUCCGCCCAUCCCAGAAUGUUCCGGUUCAGCCUCAUGGUUAGAUUUGACCAAUGGCUUUGCGCAGAAAUGACCUGUGUGCCUUUCACACGAGAAGGUAGACUUCUGAAUCUCUCUCUCUCUCGGCUGUUUGAAAUCCAGACUACUUGAUAUGAUGGUAGCUCCGGGAGCCUCCUUGGCUCCAUAACUACCAUGAUUCCUGCUGGCGAUAUGGGAUGGACUUAGGAGCCCUACAAGCCAAGGUCCUGAAGCUGUGUGCACAUCUCCCCUACUCUCACCUGAACAGCACGGUUUGAACUAUGGAUUAUUCCAGAUUGUGAUCCAGCUCCCAUUUAUACCUUGGAGAAAACAUUGUUCCAGAGAGAUGCUAAAAGAAAGAGCCUCCCCAACUGAGAGGAAGGAGAUGUUUUAAACAGCUCAGGUCUUCAUUCCCACAGAUCAGCCUUAUUAGAACAAACACUGGGACACUUGAACAAAACAGAUGUGGAACUGAGAUUCCUCACACCUGGCCCUGCCCAUCUGGUACCCCCAGGACAAGACUACAAAGAACAUGAAAUCAGCACUCUUUGAGAGGUCUGUGUGAGGUUCAGUUUGAAAGAGUCAUCCUCCAACCACAAUGUGGUCUCCCAGUUGCAGGGAUGGAAUGGAGCUGCGUUCCAUGUGCGCCCUGGAAGCCAAGAUUCUCAAGGUCAAAGUACCCUUUGGGAUCCAUCUACUCACUUCUUCGGUUCUGACUCCAUAGACAAGAAAACAGAGGAAUUCUAAUCAGAUAGCCACUUAGGGGCAGAUUCAGGGAGAACCAGGUGGCAACCUCCAACCUCUUCCCUGGGGCAAAGCAGGAAGUGUUAUCAGAGUUGAAACCAGAAGACAGGUGUCUGGUUGCUCUGCCUCCCAGUGAUGCUAACUUCAAUCCCAGCAUGCAUUGGUUUGGUUCUAAGGCAAUAAAUCCCAACUGUGACUCAAUCAG